UGAUCCUGGCUCAGGAUGAACGCUGGCGGCGUGCCUAAUACAUGCAAGUCGAGCGAACUGAUUAGAAGCUUGCUUCUAUGACGUUAGCGGCGGACGGGUGAGUAACACGUGGGCAACCUGCCUGUAAGACUGGGAUAACUUCGGGAAACCGAAGCUAAUACCGGAUAGGAUCUUCUCCUUCAUGGGAGAUGAUUGAAAGAUGGUUUCGGCUAUCACUUACAGAUGGGCCCGCGGUGCAUUAGCUAGUUGGUGAGGUAACGGCUCACCAAGGCAACGAUGCAUAGCCGACCUGAGAGGGUGAUCGGCCACACUGGGACUGAGACACGGCCCAGACUCCUACGGGAGGCAGCAGUAGGGAAUCUUCCGCAAUGGACGAAAGUCUGACGGAGCAACGCCGCGUGAGUGAUGAAGGCUUUCGGGUCGUAAAACUCUGUUGUUAGGGAAGAACAAUACGAGAGUAAC
rnacentral:rRNA from 2 species